rnacentral:rRNA from 1 species
AAAGAUUAAGCCAUGCAUGUCUAAGUACAUGUGUAUUUAACACGAAACCGCGUAUGGCUCAUUAUAACAGCUAAAAUUUACUUGAUUUUGACUUUUAUCCUACAUGGAUAACUGUGGUAAUUCUGGAGCUAAUACAUGCAUAAAAGAUAUUUCAUUUAUUGAAAUAUUGCGUAUAUUAGUAUUAAAACCAAGCAUUCUUCGGAAUGUUUUGUGUUGAAACUGAAUAUAUCAUGCUGAUCGUAUGGUCUUGUACCGACGACAUGUCAUUCAAGUGUCUGAUCUAUCAACUUUCUAUAUAAGUAUAUAGUACUUAUAUGGUUUUGACGGAUAACGGGGUAUUAGGGUACGACUCCGGAGAAAAUGCCUGAGAAACGGCGUUUACAUCCAAGGAAGGCAGCAGGCGCGAAAAUUACCCACUCUCAGUACGAGGAGGUAGUGACGAGAAAUGACAAGAUCUAUUCCUUCGGGGAUGGAUCAUUGGAAUGGUUUGAUUUUAAAAUCAUUAAAGAGUAUCAAUGAGAGGGCAAGUCUGGUGCCAGCAGCCGCGGUAAUUCCAGCUCUCAUACUGCAUUGAAUUGUUGUUGCGGUUAAAAAGCUCGUAGUUGGAUCUGUACAUGAUAGGUUAGUUCAUCCUUUGGAUUGUAACUAAUACUAAAUGUUUUUUAUUAGAUUUUUAUAUGUUUUCUUAACGGAUUGCAUAUAAUGUCUAAUGAGUUUACUUUGAAUAAAUCAGAGUGCUCAAAACAGGCGUAAGCUUGUAUGGUUUUGCAUGGAAUAAUAGAACAUGACUAUGGUUCAUGUUUUAUUGGUUUUACUUACCAUAGUAAUGAUUAAAAGGAACAAACGGGGGCAUCCGUAUCGCAGGGCGAGAGGUGAAAUUCGUGGACCCUUGCGAGACGAACUACAGCGAAAGCAUUUGCCAAGAAUG